rnacentral:rRNA from 1 species
UACGGAGGGGGCUAGCGAUGUUCGGAAUUACUGGGCGUAAAGCGCACGUAGGCGGCUUUGCAAGUCAGAGGUGAAAGCCCGGGGCUCAACCCCGGAAUUGCCUUUGAGACUGCAUCGCUAGAAUUGUGGAGAGGUAAGUGGAAUUCCGAGUGUAGAGGUGAAAUUCGUAGAUAUUCGGAAGAACACCAGUGGCGAAGGCGACUUACUGGACACAUAUUGACGCUGAGGUGCGAAAGCGUGGGGAGCAAACAGG